rnacentral:rRNA from 1 species
UACAUAGGUGGCGAACGUUAUCCGGAUUUAUUGGGCGUAAAGGAUGCGUAGAUGGUGGAAUAAGUUAUUGGUCGAGGUCAAGCCCAACUUGGCGGAAGCUGAUAAUACUGUUCUACUUGAGGGCAGGAGAGGUUGGCGGAAUUCUGUGUGGAGCGGUGAAAUGCGUUGAUCUACAGAGGAACACCAAAAAGGGCGAAGGCAGCCAACUAUUCUGAUCCUGACAUUGAGGCAUGAAAGCGUGGGGAGCAAACCGG